ensembl:misc_RNA 7SK 7SK RNA
GGGUGUGAGGGCGAUCUGGCUGUGACAUCUGUCCCCCAUCGAUCGCCAGGGUUGAUCCGGCUGCUCUGGCUGGCUAGGCGGGUGUCCCCUUCCUCCCUCGCCGCUCCACGUGCGUCCCUCCUGAAGCUGCGCUGUCGGUGAAGAGGACGACCCUCCCCGAUAGAGGAGGACCGGCCUUCGGUCCAGGGUAUAUGGGUAGCUGCGCCCCCCUGCUAGAACCUCCAAAAGCAAGCUCUGAGAAGCGGCUUUGUGAAAUGCUCUUGGCUUCCGACUUCCGAAAGGGGAGUUGGGGAGGAGGAGGCGGGGUGUGUGUAGCGAACUUAAAACUUAAGAGGCUGCUAGGACUUU